rnacentral:rRNA from 1 species
UACGUAGGGGGCUAGCGUUGUCCGGAUUUAUUGGGCGUAAAGAGCGUGUAGGCGGCCAGACAGGUCAGCUGUGAAAACUCGAGGCUCAACCUCGAGACGUCGGUUGAAACCGUCUGGCUAGAGUCCGGAAGAGGAGAGUGGAAUUCCCGGUGUAGCGGUGAAAUGCGCAGAUAUCGGGAAGAACACCCGUGGCGAAGGCGGCUCUGUGGGACGGUACUGACGCUGAGACGCGAAAGCGUGGGGAGCGAACAGG